rnacentral:sRNA from 1 species
UUUUUUCUUUAUUUCUCUUCUUUUUGUAUAGUCUUGAAUACAUGGCUUUCAAACAAAUAAAAU